rnacentral:misc_RNA from 1 species
UCUCCGUAGGUGAACCUGCGGAGGGAUCAUUACUGAAUAGCCCUUCUGCCUUCACCCCCUCAAACUUCCGCCCCUUGUAAAAUGUGCUUCGGCGCCGCUCAGAGGGCGGCGCUAUUAUGCCGAAUUCUGGAUCUUGCCGGAUCUAUCCUAACAAGUAAAAACUUUCAACAAAGAAUCUCUUAGCACGCUCAUCGAUGAAGAACUCACCAGAUCGGAAGAACACACUUCUGAACUCCAGUCCCCAAUCGUCAACCACGAUGCCGUCCUCACUAUACCAAC